GGAAGCCUGAGCCCUGGAUGUCAGGGUGUAAAGCAGGAGGCUCCGACCGGAGAGAAAAUCAGGGAGAGUUGAAGAGGGGCUGAGGCAAGAUAUCGCUGACCUUUUCCCCAACUGCAGGAAAAAGCAGAUCUUGGGGAGCUCAACUUCUCACUCUGCUACCUCCCCACGGCCGGGCGCCUCACCGUGACCAUCAUCAAAGCCUCUAACCUCAAAGCGAUGGACCUCACUGGCUUCUCAGACCCCUACGUGAAGGCCUCCCUGAUCAGCGAGGGGCGGCGUCUGAAGAAGCGGAAAACCUCCAUCAAGAAGAACACGCUGAACCCCACCUAUAAUGAGGCGCUGGUGUUCGAUGUGGCCCCCGAGAGCGUGGAGAACGUGGGGCUCAGCAUCGCCGUGGUGGACUACGACUGCAUCGGGCACAACGAGGUGAUCGGCGUGUGCCGCGUGGGCCCCGACGCUGCCGACCCGCACGGCCGCGAGCACUGGGCAGAGAUGCUGGCCAAUCCCCGCAAGCCCGUGGAGCACUGGCAUCAGCUAGUGGAGGAAAAGACUUUGACCAGCUUCACAAAAGGCAGCAAAGGACUAUCAGAGAAAGAGAACUCCGAGUGAGGGGUCUGGCCUAGGCCCGGGAUUGGACCAGGCUCCCUCAGGACCCCAUCCUUUCCUGCCCGGAC
rnacentral:sRNA from 1 species